rnacentral:rRNA from 1 species
UCCUGAAACCGUACGCCUACAAGCGGUCGGAGCAUCUUAAGUGAUGUGACGGCGUGCCUUUUGCAUAAUGAACCUACGAGUUGCCGUCACCAGCGAGGUUAAGUGCGAUGACGCACCGAGCCGCAGCGGAAGCGAGUCUUAAAAGGGCGCGAUAGUUGGUGGAGGCAGACGCGAAACCGAGUGAUCUACACUUGUCCAGGAUGAAGUCCCGGUAACACGGGAUGGAGGUCCGCACCAAUAAGCGUUGAAAAGCUUCUGGAUGAGGUGAGUGUAGGAGUGAAAGGCCAAUCAAACUCGGAGAUAGCUCGUACUCCCCGAAAGGCAUUUAGGUGCCGCCUGUGGCGUUCCCGACGUGAGGUAGAGCGACUGAUAGGAUGCGAGGGCUUCACCGCCUAUCAAGUCCUGACAAACUCCGAAUGCACGUCGGCCAAGCCAUGGAGUAAGGGCAUGGGUGCUAAGGUCCGUGCCCGAGAGGAGAAGAAUCCAGACCACCGGCUAAGGUCCCGAAAUACUGGUUAAGUUAGACUAACGCAGUCCGGCCCCCAAGACAGCUAGGAUGUUGGCUUGGAAGCAGCCAUUCAUUCAAAGAGUGCGUAACAGCUCACUAGUCGAGGAGCUGGGCGUGGAUAAUAAUCGGGUAUAAAACCAGUUACCGAAGCCGUGGGAUGCAUAAGCAUCGGUAGGGGAGCAUUGCAUGCGGCUUAGAAGGCGGGGCGCGAGCCCCUCUGGAGCGCAUGGAAACGCAAAUGUAGGUAUAAGUAACGACAAGGGGGGUGGGAUGCCCCCCCGCCGAAAGACCAAGGUUUCCUGAACAACGCUAAUCGGUUCAGGGUCAGUCGGGUCCUAAGCAUAAGCCGUAUGGCGAUGGCGAUGGAUGAAACGGUUAAUAUUCCGUUACUGUCUUGGUGUGUGACGCGGCGACGGAGUAGUGACACGGCCGCCUCCUGACGGAAAAGGGGGUUGAAGCGCAAAGGUGUCGAGGAAGGCAGGCAAAUCCACCUUCCGAGCCGAAGCGCGAUAGUACGCUGCGCCCUUUGGGGCAAGGCGAUAGUGCCGGUAAUCAGACUUCCAAGAAAACCCGCUAAACUUCAGCAUCAAGUCACCCGUACUCCAAACGGACACACGUGGUCGGGUAGAAUAUACUAAGGCGCUUGGGAGAUUCACGGUUAAGGAACUAGGCAAAUUGACCCCGUACCUUCGGAAUAAGGGGUCCUCGCUUUUGCGAGGCGCAGAGAAUAGGUCCAGGCAACUGUUUAACAAAAACACAGGGCUGUGCCAAUUUGAAAGAAGAAGUAUACAGCCUGACACCUGCCCGGUGCCGGAAGGUUAAGAGGAGAGCUCAUCAGCGAUGAGAAGGCUUGAAUUGAAGCCCCGGUAAACGGCGGCCGUAACUAUAACGGUCCUAAGGUAGCGAAAUUCCUUGUCGG